rnacentral:rRNA from 1 species
UACGGAGGGAGCUAGCGUUGUUCGGAAUUACUGGGCGUAAAGCGCACGUAGGCGGCUUUGUAAGUUAGAGGUGAAAGUCCGGGGCUCAACCCCGGAAUUGCCUUUAAGACUGCAUCGCUUGAAUCCGGGAGAGGUGAGUGGAAUUCCGAGUGUAGAGGUGAAAUUCGUAGAUAUUCGGAAGAACACCAGUGGCGAAGGCGACUUACUGGACACAUAUUGACGCUGAGGUGCGAAAGCGUGGGGAGCAAACAGG